rnacentral:rRNA from 1 species
GGACCCGCACAAGCGGUGGAGCAUGUGGUUUAAUUCGAUGCAACGCGAAAAACCUUACCUACUCUUGACAUACUUGGGAGCUCUUGUAAUGAGAGUGUGCCUUUUGGAACCAAGAUACAGGUGCUGCAUGGCUGUCGUCAGCUCGUGUCGUGAGAUGUUCCGUUAAGUCGGAUAACGAGCGCAACCCUUACCCUUAUUUGCCAGCGAUUCGGUCGGGAACUAUAAGGGGACUGCCGGUGAUAAACCGGAGGAAGGUGAGGACGACGUCAAGUCAUCAUGGCCCUUACGAGUAGGGCUACACACGUGCUACAAUGGGGAAUACAGACGGACGCUAAGCCGCGAGGUGGUGCUAAUCCUAGAAAGUGCGUCGUAGUCCGGAUCGGAGUCUGCAACUCGACUCCGUGAAGUCGGAAUCGCUAGUAAUCGUGGAU